GAAGCAUGGCUCACGGGUAGAGCAUUUGUUUUUGCAUUCAGAAGGGUCCCAGGUUCAAUCCCUGACAUAUUCA